CUCACAAGUCUCACCGUCUCAAAUUCUCAAUACAACACCUCUCGUCUCCGGCUUUCUCCAAUCCUCAUCAUCAUGUUCCUGCUUCUUUCACUCCCUUCUCCCUUGAUAAUGACAAUCACCGCAUUACUCCAUCUCUUGAAGGAUGGAGUGAAAUUUGAGUUUUUGAGAAGGUCACAUGAAGGUGAACGUCAUUUUAGUUUCAAUUGCUGCAAUCUCGAAUUGGUGUCAAAAGAGCAAUUUGCAAAAUCAAUCAAAUCAGAACCUUUGUAUUAGGGUUUCUUCGCAGAAAAGCAACGUGGACGAUCUAUGAUAUUGCCACCAUUAAAGAAGCAGGAGAAUGUUCAGUGUUCCUGCAUUGGAGUAAUACGGCGUCGUCAAGGUGAGUUUUCUGUUCUCAUUCUCUCCGGUGAUUGUUAAUGUACGGCUCGGAUUAUCCGUCCCAUUAGAGAACUGUAAAAUGCAAAUAAACUAUGUAGUCUCUCCAAUUCAAUCCAAGUGGUAAGCAACUUGUUGGUGGAAAAGCAUGCAUGAAAGCUAAAUGUACUAUUUUAUAACCAUUUAUCUGUUUUUCAAUAUAUAUGAUGUAUGUGGAAAUUGUAAUUAAAAUAUUUAGACUCAGUAAUCACGAAGUAACUUGGCUGCAUAUUACAUCCACAAUUUUAUAAUUUUUAACCUUGUAAUGACUUCACCAUUUGUUGAAUCUGGACUCUUAUAUUACUCUUCCACUUGCAAUUUAAGCUUAUCACUAUUGCAAGACCUUCCAAGGACUGUUACCAUGGCAGGUUCAUCAUCAGAUCAGGGUGCAACUGCUACACCAUCUUCACCUUUCAAGUAUGAUGUUUUCCUGAGCUUUAGAGGUGACACAAGAUUCAAAUUCACAGACGCACUCUAUCGUGCUUUGGUCAACGAAAGAAUCGAGACUUUCAGAGAUAGCGAGAA